rnacentral:rRNA from 1 species
UGGGGAAUUUUGGACAAUGGACGCAAGUCUGAUCCAGCCAUGCCGCGUGCGGGAAGAAGGCCUUCGGGUUGUAAACCGCUUUUGUCAGGGAAGAAACGAGUUUCUCUAAUACAGAGACUUAAUGUCGGUACCCGAAGAAUAAGCACCGGCUAACUACGUGCCAGCAGCCGCGGUAAUACGUAGGGUGCAAGCGUUAAUCGGAAUUACUGGGCGUAAAGCGUGCGCAGGCGGUUAUAUAAGACAGAUGUGAAAUCCCCGGGCUCAACCUGGGAACUGCAUUUGUGACUGUAUAGCUAGAGUACGGCAGAGGGGGAUGGAAUCCCGCGUGUAGCAGUGAAAUGCGUAGAUAUGCGGAGGAACACCGAUGGCGAAGGCAAUCCCCUGGGCCUGUACUGACGCUCAUGCACGAAAGCGUGGGGAGCAAACA